CCCAGGCAGGUGAGAAUGGGGGCCCCAGGCAGGUGAGGACCCCAGGCAGGUGAGGAUCCCAGGCAGGUGAGGAUGGGGACCCCAGGCAGGUGAGGACCCCAGGCAGGUGAGGAUGGGGGCCCCAGGCAGGUGAGGACCCCGGGCAGGUGAGGAUGCUCCGUGCUGGAUCUGCUCUGGCAGGGGAGGAUGUUCUUUUGUGAUGGCUCACCCUGUAACUGCUCACCUGAACCCCUCAUCCUGUAUCCCCUCAUCUGUAACCCUCCCUCCCCUCACCUGCAGCCCCAUCUCUUACCCUAAAAAGACCCAAGAGAGGCCCCAAAGCCCCCCCAGUCCCUCCCCCCAGGGGGCUGGGGGGCAGCAGCUCUGCAGGGCUGCUCUGGGGGCUCCUGCUGCCCCCCCAUUGCUCCCACCCCUGACUCCCACCCCUGCCCUGGCCUUGGCUUCCUCACACCAAUCCUAGAAGGGAUCCCCUGCAGGGGCAGGGCUGGCUCAGCUGCUCAGUGGUGCUAAAGGACCCUGAACUGGGGCUGGGGCUGGCCACAGGUGACCCUCACCUGCACCCAGCACCUGCCUGGCCCCCCCUCCAGCCCCCCACUCCUGACCUGGAGGGCUGAGCUGGGCACGAGCCUCACCAAAGGCAGAUCUAACCCGGAGCUGAACGCCCGAGGCACCGCCUUGGAACUGCUUUUGAAGUUUCAGUUCUGGCCGCUUUGGGGUUGUUUUUCACGGGAAACAGAAUCAUGAGGUUUGGUGCAGUUUGUUGCACAGAUGGGAAUUUGGUGCUCAGCUGGGGCCAGGCCAAGCAAAGGCAGAGCGUGGUUGUGCCGUCCUGCGCCUGCCCCGUGUCACACGCGCUGGUGCCUCUGGUUUCACUGGGUUUAACUGGGCGCGGGGAUGGAGGAUUCCCAGUUCACCUGUGACUGUGGUGGCUCAUUCCCUACCUCACAGGGGUGUUGUGGGGCUUCAUGGUGACCGAGCGUGCUGCACUGAGCACCCCAGAGCUGUGGGCAGGCACCGUGGGGCACUCAGGGGUGACCAAAAUGCUGCUGUGACGGUCCCACACCCCGUGCCCGCUGUGCAGCUGUGGGGCAGGGCCACUUCUCCCCUCUGACACCCGCCCAGGCCACUGGUGUUGGCCCCGUGCUCCCCUCUCGCCCUGGCUUUCCUCUCUGUUCUGUUUUACCUGGGGAGAGGAGGAGGAUGCAGCUGGGGGAGGGUGGAGGAAGGCGAUGGAGGGACGGGCUGGGAGUUCCAUGGCUGAACUUUGAGUUCCUUUGUACUGUACAUCUUUUUACUUUGGAAUUUGCAAUAAAGAGGUAUGUCCAUCUUGUUUUAACAACUUC